GAUGAACGCUGGCGGCGUGCCUAAUACAUGCAAGUAGAACGCUGAAGGAAGGAGCUUGCUCUUUCCGGAUGAGUUGCGAACGGGUGAGUAACGCGUAGGUAACCUGCCUGGUAGCGGUGGAUAACUAUUGGAAACGAUAGCUAAUACCGCAUAACAGUAGAUAUUGCAUGAUAUCUGCUUGAAAGGGGCAAUUGCUCCACUACCAGCUGGACCUGCGUUGUAUUAGCUAGUUGGUGAGGUAACGGCUCACCAAGGCGACGAUACAUAGCCGACCUGAGAGGCGGAUAGGCCACGCUGGGACGGAAGGACGACCCAGACCACUACGAGAGGGAGAAGUAGGGAAUUUUCGGCAAAGGACGGAAGUCUGACCGAGGAACGCCGCGUGGGUGAAGAAGGUAUUCAGAUCGUAAAGCUCUGUUGGAAGAGAGGAACGAGAGGGAGAGUGGAAAGUGCACACUGUGACGGUAUCUUACCAGAAAGAGACGGCUAACUACGUG
rnacentral:rRNA from 1 species